ensembl:lncRNA
GGGAGCUAUCAGCACUCACCUCAGCAGAGAAAACAGAGCUGUGAUGAAAGCAAAAAAGUAGAGAGGAGGGGAAAGACUGACAGGCACAGACAGACAGAGAGUGAAGGUUAAAAUGACAGAGAGACAAGCAGGCGGGAGCACGGAGAGAAUGAGGGGGCGAAAAGUGGACAGCUGCGAUGAAACAAGAGCCUGAAAAGAGAUGGAAGGAAAGACGGGCAGACAGACUGACAUCUCUAGCUAUCAAACCCUUGUGGAUUCACCCUGGGGAACACCGGCUCACGUGGCUGCAGAUAAGAGCGGGAGGAAUAAAACAGACAUCAGUUCCUGUCCCUGUUCCUGUUUGUGGAGGAUUUUUUUCCCCUGUGGCUGUGAUUUCCGAUCCCUGGCUUCCACACCUGACAUUCGUUAUGUGAUCAUUAGCUACAUGAUCAUGUAGCUACACUGGCUCAUCUGUCCGCUGUCUGUUAGGUCCUUCCAUCAUUUCUACAGGUUCCCUGCAUGUACCAGGCGUCCUUCUCACCAGCGCCUGUGACAUUUGGGAUCUUUGUGGACGAAUCUUCUGUUUACAACCUGAAAUGAACCUACAGUAUUAGGUCAGCGAUCCCCAACCUUUUUUACGCCACGAACCGGUUUAUUUUCAAGGACUGGCCUUUAAGGUGGACGUGUGCUACUCUUGAUGUUUUCUCUGACUCUGUUUUGUCUCUGUUUCCUGUGUAUAGCAUGAAACAGCAGCAUUGUUUCGUCUGCUUUUUUGUCCAGCACAGGGAGUCGGGGUUAGCUAAUGUCUUGUCUUUUGGUUCUGUUGUUCUCUUAGGGAGUUAGGCAGAUUUCUUGUUGGGAGGAUACAUUGGUUUUGUUUAUUAUUGUGGCCUUUGGUUAACACUGAAGUCCAGCCUUGCUGACUGUAAAUAAUAUUCACAGUGUGUUGCAAUAAAGUGUUCAGC